CCAGAAUAUUUGAAUCAGUCUUUCCACACACAGCCGUUUCAAGUACAACCAUGCAAUUGAAGAUUGUUUGUCUACUUCUGGUCGCCACUGUGGCCAUGACAGCCGCCUACAGGGGUCAGUACAACUCUCUGAGGAACCAAGGGCGUUACGGUCGCUACGGCUACGACAUUGAGCUUCCCGACUUCCCCGAAUUUGAUAGCUACAUGUACAGAUAUCUGAUGACGAGCGGUCGUCGACAAGGCAGACAGAGCAGACAAAACACAAAUCGCUACAACAGUUUGAGGAAUCUUGCCAGACUUGAGGCUUAUGACCUCAUCUGAGGCAGAAUACAACGAGUGACAUAAGACAUGUAAAUGGC